CGGGAUGUAGCUCAGUUGGUAGAGCACACGACUGAUAAUCGUGCGGUCAGAAGUUCAAUUCUUCUCGUCCCGACCA
rnacentral:tRNA from 1 species